CGGAGGCGGGUUGGUUCGGGCGAUGGUUUGGACCGAAAAGGGCGGAGCAUUCUCGGCUGCUGAACGGGAGGAAGCUUGUGGACGCGAACAUUUGCGUCAGUCUUCGUCAACUUGUGUCCGUUACAAUUUCCCCAAUGGCAACAGAAGAUAGACGGGAACCGGUGCCAAAUGCUUUAUCAGAGGUCGGUAUGCUGAAGACGACGCACCACGGCCACAACAACAAUAACAACAACAACAACAACAAUAACAACAACAAAGACAGCGAGGGAACUGAUAGCACUACAACAACGGCUACCGCUACGGCGACCGCCACUGAAUCCAGCGGGAUAGCAACGCAGAGCAUCGGGAACGGCUCUGGGAUCAACCCCACUGGGGGGAACAGCGGGAAAUGGGUCCGCUUGAACGUCGGCGGCACGGUGUUCCUCACAACGCGGCAUACCCUUCUCAAAGAACAAACUUCCUUUCUUUACAGGCUCUGUCAACAGCAGGACUUGCACUCAGACACGGACGAGACGGGGGCGUACGUCAUCGACAGAGACCCCACCUACUUCGGCCCCAUCCUCAACUACCUGCGGCACGGAAAACUGGUCUACAACAAGGAGCUGGCGGAGGAAGGGGUGCUUGAGGAGGCUGAGUUCUACAACAUCACCCCUCUAAUCAAGCUGAUCAAGGAGAGGAUCCUGGAGAGGGACUCAAAGGCCACACAGCAGGUGCCCCCUAAGCACGUGUACCGGGUGCUGCAAUGCCAGGAGGAGGAGCUCACCCAGAUGGUGUCCACCAUGUCCGACGGCUGGAAGUUUGAGCAGGUCAGCGUGCGCACCUGCAGAAAGCCCCGCACCGGACUGCUCUGGACUAUGGUGAACAUCGGCUCGUCAUACAGCUAUGGCACUGAGGACCAGGCUGAGUUCCUGUGUGUGGUCUCCAAGGAGCUGCACACAGCGGGGUCCGGUGUGGCCACCGAGCAGAGCCACAAGACCAAGGUUCCGGAUCUGCAGCAGGAGGGAGCAGCCCGGGCUGAGGAGGAGGAGGAGGAGGUGGAGGAGGAGGAGGAGGAGGAGGAGGAGGCUGAGGAUGAGGAUGAGGAGGAGGUGGAGGUGGAGGGUGGUGGUGGUGGUGCUGGUGAUGGUGCUGGUCAAGCCCAAGAGGCAGGCAGAGGGACCACACCCAAUGAGGUGUGGCUUAGAGAGUGACACUCUCGGGCUGCCAUGUUGCCACACAGACAGACACUGAUGGGUGAGGAUCCAUAGCUAGCGUUUACUAAAGAGCUAGCCUAUGCUAAUGAGCUAGCAUGUGCUAACGAGCUAGCCUGUGCUACCUUAUUUCCUAGCGAGCUAGAGCUAGUAGUUGUCUUACCUUUUGUGUGUGGGUGUUUAUGUGUCUGCUAUAUGUGUGUAUAUAUCUUUGUUUUUAAUCUUUUUAUUUGUUUUUAAUUUAUGGAUAUACUGAUAUAGAGAGAUGGAGAAAUAGAUAGAAAACAGAGUCAUGUAGUGUUUAUAAUUCCAUUUAUAUUUAAAUAUUGUGGAAGUUAAGGGUAUUGCCCGUCAUCAAACUGAGGCAAGGGCUAAGCUAGCAUUUUCAUUUGGAAGCUGCAUGAAAGAGGGCAGGCUUGGUUUUAGCAAUGUGCCCAGUUCAUCAAUAUGACCUGUAGGCGCUUGUGUGUGUGUGUGUGUGUGUGUGUGUGUAUAUUGACCCACUUUGUCCCCUCUAUGGAUUUCCAUCACCAAUGCUGUAUUAUCGAAUAACUCAACCUUUAUGAGCGAGUGGUGUUAGAAUUUGUCCUUUUGAUCACCACACACACGCACACUUAUGUUGGCCCCAUUUCUACCCAGAGAUAUGUAUGUAUGUUGUGAAGGCUUAGAGAGCGGAAACAAGCUUUUGAUUAUUUAUUUUUUUAUAUAAAAUGACUUUUAUUCCAUGUUACUGUCGAUGGACACAUCCUGUCCCUCUGUCCCGACAUGGCCAUGGACAUCUAUAAUACUCUGUUUGGACAUCCUGUCACCAUUACCAUUGCUAUCAUCAACAUCCCAGGCUAAACAUAUAGUUUGAAAUGUAGAAGCAAAAGGCUGUGCUUUGCUCCCUGCUUUGUAUUCAAAACGACUAACUUUCUUCUGGGGUUUUCUUUUCAGCUUUUCCAGAUCCAUGGAUCGAGGAUGUAACAUUUAAAUAGCACACACUCUGACCUUGUUUGCUGUUGGUCGGUGGUAGGAAUAUGCUUGAACGCAACGCGUUUCUGUGACAUCUCAGUGGUUCCCCAUCGGCAUUUCGAUCCUUUUUUGGGGGUUAAAUGCAAUUUGAAUAGCAUUUGAAAAACAUGCUGCUGAAAAAUUGUCGACACUAUUUGGUAACAUGUUCAUCUUAUUGGAAAAUAAAUUGUUUAUCUGAUAAUGUUUACAAAACAUUUCCUCUGCCAGGGGAGGUAGUGAACUUAGUAAAAUUGUUACCAAAGAUCAAAAUUGUUAAAAAGAAACUGAAAAUGUCCU